CAGCAGCCACGGUAAUACGAAGGGGGCCAGCGUUGUUCGGAUUUACUGGGCGUAAAGCGCACGUAGGCGGAUCGAUCAGUCAGGGGUGAAAUCCCAGAGCUCAACUCUGGAACUGCCUUUGAUACUGUCGAUCUGGAGUAUGGAAGAGGUGAGUGGAAUUCCGAGUGUAGAGGUGAAAUUCGUAGAUAUUCGGAGGAACACCAGUGGCGAAGGCGGCUCACUGGUCCAUUACUGACGCUGAGGUGCGAAAGCGUGGGGAUCAAACAGGAUUAGAUACCCGUGUAGUCCCUGUCUCUUAUAA
rnacentral:rRNA from 1 species